rnacentral:rRNA from 1 species
UACAGAGACCCCGAGCAUUAUCCGGAUUUAUUGGGCGUAAAGCGUUCGUAGGUGGUUUCGUAAGUCAUUUGUUAAAUCUUCAGGCUUAACCUGGAGGCUGCAGGUGAUAUUGCGAGGCUAGAGUAUGGGAGAGGCAGACGGAAUGCCCGGUGUAGCGGUAAAAUGCGUUAAUAUCGGGUAGAACACAAAGGCGAAAGCAGUCUGCUGGAACAUUACUGACACUGAGGAACGAAAGCGUGGGUAGCGAAAGGG